rnacentral:rRNA from 1 species
UACAGGGGGGGCAAGCGUUGUUCGGAAUUACUGGGCGUAAAGGGCUUGUAGGUGGCCAACUAAGUCAGACGUGAAAUCCCUCGGCUUAACCGGGGAACUGCGUCUGAUACUGGAUGGCUCGAGUUUGGGAGAGGGAUGCGGAAUUCCAGGUGUAGCGGUGAAAUGCGUAGAUAUCUGGAGGAACACCGGUGGCGAAGGCGGCAUCCUGGACCAACACUGACACUGAAAAGCGAAAGCCAGGGGAGCAAACGGG